GAUGAACGCUAGCGGCAGGCCUAACACAUGCAAGUCGAGGGGCAUCGCGGUGCAGCAAUGCACUGGCGGCGACCGGCGUACGGGUGCGUAACGCGUAUGCAACCUGCCCCGCACCGGGGGAUAGCCCGCCGAAAGGCGGAUUAAUACCCCAUGGCCCCGGGGGCCCGCAUGGGCAUCCGGGUAAAGCUUUGGCGGUGCGGGAUGGGCAUGCGUGCCAUUAGCUGGCUGGUGGGGUAACGGCCCACCAGGGCAACGAUGGCUAGGGGGUCUGAGAGGAUGGUCCCCCACACUGGUACUGAGACACGGACCAGACUCCUACGGGAGGCAGCAGUGAGGAAUAUUGGUCAAUGGGCGGAAGCCUGAACCAGCCAUGCCGCGUGCGGGAUGAAGGCCCUACGGGUUGUAAACCGCUUUUCCCCGGGAAGAAUAAGCCCCCCGCGGGGGGUGAUGCCGGUACCGGGGGAAUAAGGAUCGGCUAACUCCGUG
rnacentral:rRNA from 1 species